rnacentral:tRNA from 1 species
GAGGAAGUGGCUCAGUGGCAGAGCAUAUGCUUGGAAUGCAGGAGGCUCCAGGUUUAAUCCCUCGUAUCUUCA